rnacentral:rRNA from 1 species
UACGGGGGGGGGCAAGCGUUGUUCGGAAUUACUGGGCGUAAAGGGCUCGUAGGCGGCCAACUAAGUCGGAUGUGAAAUCCCCAAGCUUAACUUGGGAACUGCAUCCGAUACUGGAUGGCUUGAAUCCGGGAGAGGGAUGCAGAAUUCCAGGUGUAGCGGUGAAAUGCGUAGAUAUCUGGAGGAAUACCGGUGGCGAAGGCGGCAUCCUGGACCGAGAUUGACACUGAUGAGCGAAAGCUAGGGGAGCAAACGGG